rnacentral:snRNA from 1 species
AUCGCUUCUCUGCUUUUGGGCUAAGAUUAAGUGUAGUACCUGUUCUUACCAGUUGAAUAUCUGAUACAUCCUCUCAGUACCUCUGGAAACGGUACACACA